rnacentral:ncRNA from 2 species
CGUAGAAUCGCCCCUGUUGGUGCCCGCAGUGUGGUUCACAUGCUGCAGUUCAACGGGAAGCAGGAGAGCGUCAAAGCCAGGCAUCGGGCCAAGCCCGAAGGCCGGCGCCCAGACCUUCAACCUGCGCUGCCCCCGCAACGGUAAAACGGACGAAUGCGCUUUCCCGGCCUCACGGCCGUGGCGCAUUCAGCUUUCAUCAUCAGCCACUGAGCGCCUUGAACAAGCGUUUGGGAAGGCGAUGGAGGCGGUUCCGUCAGCCCGGAUACCGGCCAACAAGGUGAACGCGCA